GAGGCGUUCAUGUGCGGUUUGUUGAUGGUGCGAAUUUCUCUUUGACUAGGGAUCCAAAGAGGGUGCUAGACCCUUACGCAUUGUUGACUUUUCGUACGCGUUCGUUUCUUGGAGUAGGGUUGUUUUGGAUCGCAGCCCAAAGUAGGUGGUAUACUUCAUCUAAAGCUAAAUACGACUACGAAUCCGAUAGCAAACAAGUACCGUGAGGGAAAGUUGCAAAGUACUUUGAAGAGAGAGUUCAAGAGGACGUGAAACCGGUAGGGUGGAAGCAGAUAAAGUUGACGAACGUGUGUCGUAUUCAGAACUACAAUUUGUGGUUUGUUUUUACGAUCGAUGUGGGCUGGCGUCUUUGGUUAACUUAGUGUCUGGCGGCAAUGGUGACCCUGCGGAGGGAUAAUCGGUUGUCGUGCGAUGCUUGGUAUGGCUAGAGGUUCGCUGGUCUUAUAGUCAUCGCUUUAUCUGACCCGUCUUGAAACACGGACCAAGGAGUGUAGCGCUUACGCGAGUCUUAGAGUGUGUCAAAACUUUGAGGCGUAACGAAAGUAAAUGUGGAUUUAUUCACUGACUUGGGAUGCGUUGUCUUUUUUGGAUAGCGUUGGACCAUGGUUUUAUCGUAAUCGCUUGCGAUGCGGUGAAAAUAGAGCGUAAGCGGUGCGACCCGAAAGAUGGUGAACUAUGCCUGAGCAGGAUGAAG
rnacentral:rRNA from 1 species